UACGUAGGGUGCAAGCGUUAAUCGGAAUUACUGGGCGUAAAGCGUGCGCAGGCGGUUAUGUAAGACAGAUGUGAAAUCCCCGGGCUCAACCUGGGAACUGCAUUUGUGACUGCAUAGCUAGAGUACGGUAGAGGGGGAUGGAAUUCCGCGUGUAGCAGUGAAAUGCGUAGAUAUGCGGAGGAACACCGAUGGCGAAGGCAAUCCCCUGGACCUGUACUGACGCUCAUGCACGAAAGGCGUGGGGAGCAAACAGG
rnacentral:rRNA from 1 species